GAUCAUGGCUCAGGAUGAACGCUGGCGGCGUGCCUAACACAUGCAAGUCGAGCGAUCUUCUUCGGAAGAGAGCGGCGGACGGGUGAGUAACGCGUGGGUAACCUGCCUCACACACAUGGAUAACAUACCGAAAGGUAUGCUAAUACAAGAUGAUAUAAGAGAUUCGCAUGGAUUUCUUAUCAAAGCCCCGGCGGUAUGAGAUGGACCCGCGUCUGAUUAGCUAGUUGGUAAGGUAAUGGCUUACCAAGGCGACGAUCAGUAGCCGACCUGAGAGGGUGAUCGGCCACAUUGGAACUGAGACACGGUCCAAACUCCUACGGGAGGCAGCAGUGGGGAAUAUUGCACAAUGGGCGAAAGCCUGAUGCAGCAACGCCGCGUGAGCGAUGAAGGCCUUCGGGUCGUAAAGCUCUGUCCUCAAGGAAGAUAAUGACGGUACUUGAGGAGGAAGCCCCGGCUAACUACGUG
rnacentral:rRNA from 1 species